AACGAACGCUGGCGGCAUGCCUAACACAUGCAAGUCGAACGAGACCUUCGGGUCUAGUGGCGCACGGGUGCGUAACGCGUGGGAACCUGCCUUUAGGUUCGGAAUAACUCAGAGAAAUUUGAGCUAAUACCGGAUGAUGUCUUCGGACCAAAGAUUUAUCGCCUUUAGAUGGGCCCGCGUUGGAUUAGCUAGUUGGUGGGGUAAAGGCCUACCAAGGCGACGAUCCAUAGCUGGUCCGAGAGGAUGAUCAGCCACACUGGGACUGAGACACGGCCCAGACUCCUACGGGAGGCAGCAGUGGGGAAUAUUGGACAAUGGGCGAAAGCCUGAUCCAGCAAUGCCGCGUGAGUGAUGAAGGCCUUAGGGUUGUAAAGCUCUUUUACCCGAGAUGAUAAUGACAGUAUCGGGAGAAUAAGCUCCGGCUAACUCCGUG
rnacentral:rRNA from 1 species